rnacentral:rRNA from 1 species
UACGGAGGGUGCAAGCGUUAUCCGGAUUUAUUGGGCGUAAAGGGUGUGUAGGCGGUUUAUUAAGUUUAAGAUCAAAGCCCGAGGCUUAACCUCGGUUCGUCUUAAAAACUGGUAAACUUGAGUGUAGUAGAGGCAAGUGGAAUUUCUAGUGUAGCGGUUAAAUGCGUAGAUAUUAGAAGGAACACCAGUGGCGAAGGCGGCUUGCUGGGCUAUCACUGACGCUGAGGCACGAAAGCGUGGGGAGCAAAUAGG